rnacentral:sRNA from 1 species
CUAAAGCAAAUUAUUGUUGGUGAUUAAGUGUAUUCACCCUUUCUGUCCUGGCAGUUCCUCUGUGACGAGGGUACAGGUAUCUCUGGGGACUACAUCGAUCGUGUGGACGAGCCCUUGUCCUGUUCUUAUGUGCUGACCAUUCGCACUCCUCGGCUCUGCCCCCACCCUCUCCUCCGGCCCCCACCCAGUGCUGCACCCCAGGCCAUCCUCUGUCACCCUUCCCUACAGCCUGAGGAGUACAUGGCCUAUGUUCAGAGGCAAGCCGUAGACUCAAAGCAGUAUGGAGAUAAAAUCAUAGAGGAGCUGCAAGAUCUAGGCCCCCAAGUGUGGAGUGAGACCAAGUCUGGGGUGGCACCCCAAAAGAUGGCAGGUGCAAGCCUGACCAAGGAUGACAGUAAGGACUCAGAUUUCUGGAAGAUGCUUAAUGAGCCAGAGGACCAGGCCCCAGGAGGGGAGGAGGUGCAGGCUGAGGAACAGGACCCAAGCCCUGAGGCAGCAGAUUCAGCUUCAGGUGCUCCCAAUGAUUUUCAGAACAAUGUGCAGGUCAAAGUCAUUCGAAGCCCUGCGGAUUUGAUUCGAUUCAUAGAGGAGCUGAAAGGUGGAACAAAAAAGGGGAAGCCAAAUAUAGGCCAAGA